CGACUACAUUAGAUACCCGCGUAGUCCCAGCCCUAAACGAUGCGCGUUAGGUGUAUCGGUGACCACGAGUCACCGAGGUGCCCGAAGGGAAACCGUGAAACGUGCCGCCUGGGAAGUACGGUCGCAAGGCUGAAACUUAAGGAAUUGGCAGGGAGCACCACAAGAGGUGGAGGCUGCGGUUCAAUUGGACUCAACGCCGGAAAACUCAUCGGGAGCGACAGCAGUAUGAUUGCCAGGUUGAUAACCUUGCUUGAAAAGCUG
rnacentral:rRNA from 1 species